CACAUCUACUAGAGUUUACAGGAUAUAAGGCUGCAUCAAAAAGUUAAAUGGAGCAGAGGAUGUACAGGCUAGGUGUUGCUUUGUUACAUUGAUCUGACAUGUCUACCUUGGAAAUUGGGGUGCUUGAUAUAGCUCAAGAUGAGUUCUUAUGCAGGUACUAUGGAUAUCUGAUGGAGAAGACAAGCACCAUUCAGAAACUAGCAUAUCAGGUUUGAAAGGAGCACAACAAAGAAUCAAAGAUAAUUGUGAAGUGCAGAUGAAGCUGGAAAUACUUGUGCAUUACCCUUUUAAUUGCAAACAAAUAUAUGGACAAAUUUAGGCUCCUCUGAUGAUUCUUUGUCCAUUUAACCAUAGAAGCAGAGGAAUCUCAGUCAUCUUGUUUUGGCUGUUUGAUUUUUGGUCCAACAAAGAACUGCAACAGUUCUAUAACACACAGAUAAGUCAAGCAUGUUCAAUCUGUAGCAUGCAUGUAUGCUCCAGUAGCUAACAUCGUGUUGCAAUGCACAUAAUUUAUUACCCAGCUCUACUGGAGCAUAUAUACCAAAGCUGCACACACUUUUUUCCGUUGGCCUGAAAGGAAGAAAAUAAAAGAAGGAUGUGCAGCUUUGGUAUAGAAGAAUGGGCAGGUUCACUGGUUUAGUAUAUACCAAAGCUGCACAUCCUUUGAAUUACACAAAAUCAGUGAGUACUUCAGAAGAUGUGAGUUUUAAGAUGUUCUCCAAGCCUUUUCAGUUUUUCUUUUGUGCCAAGCUCCUUUCAAUAAGGCUUUGCAGAUUUGCAAUUUUGGUUUUUUUCCUUUAUUGAAAGAAAAUGCCUUUUAGUAUGGGUCAAUAUGGAAAUCACAGUGACAGUUCAAUUGAACCUUUUUCUUGACAAAUUUAUUUUUUCUUCCCAGCCCCCUGUUUUAAUGAAUUAGAUUGUUUUCUCCUAGAUCAUAUUAGUUUCUUGGCCAACAUUCAGAUUUUUGGAAUCUCCACACGACAUUACGUAUUUGCAAAAUGACAACAACACUACAUCAGCAUGAAGUCUGAACAACCCAUCCAUUAAAAGUUCAGGAUGAUCUAUAGAUUCAUCGACUUUGGUUCAGUUUCAUUCAACAAAUGUAGUUUUCACAUGUGAAGUGUACUAAUGGCUUCAAUUUGAGUUGAAUUGUCGAGAUAUAUGGUUGUUCGACACUGUUUGAGAGGAUCAACUUUAAACACAUUUACUACAAAGCUGACUUUGUGGCAAAUUCAGUCGCAAGUUUGGGUUGUUGUCAUGAUGUGGAGAAAGUCUGGAUGCAUUCUCUCUAGUACGAUCUGUGAACAGUAAAUGCCUUGUAGUCCUG